GUAGGUGGCAAGCGUUGUCCGGAAUUAUUGGGCGUAAAGCGCGCGCAGGCGGUCCUUUAAGUCUGAUGUGAAAGCCCACGGCUCAACCGUGGAGGGUCAUUGGAAACUGGGGGACUUGAGUACAGAAGAGGAAAGCGGAAUUCCACGUGUAGCGGUGAAAUGCGUAGAGAUGUGGAGGAACACCAGUGGCGAAGGCGGCUUUCUGGUCUGUAACUGACGCUGAGGCGCGAAAGCGUGGGGAGCAAACAGGAUUAGAUACCCUGGUAGUCCACGCCGUAAACGAUGAGUGCUAAGUGUUAGGGGGGUUUCCCGCCCCCCUUAGUGCUGCAGCUAACGCAUUAAGCACCCCCGCCUGGGGGAGUACGGCCGCAAGGCUG
rnacentral:rRNA from 1 species